UAGGGAAUAUUGGACAAUGGGCGAAAGCCUGAUCCAGCAACGCCGCGUGCGCGAUGACGGCCUUCGGGUUGUAAAGCGCUUUUAGAGGAGAUGAGAAAGGACAGUAUCCUCAGAAUAAGCCUCGGCGAACUACGUGCCAGCAGCCGCGGUAAAACGUAGGAGGCUAGCGUUAUCCGGAUUUAUUGGGCGUAAAGCGCGUGCAGGCGGUUUGAUAAGUUGGAUGUGAAAUCUCCCGGCUUAACUGGGAGCGGUCGCUCAAAACUAUCAGACUAGAGAAUGGGAGAGGAAGGUGGAAUUCCGGGUGUAGUGGUGAAAUGCGUAGAUAUCCGGAGGAACACCAGUGGACGAAAGCGGCCUUCAGACCUAUUUCUGACGCUAAGACGCGAAAGCUAGGGAAGC
rnacentral:rRNA from 1 species